UUUCCUUUGCUAAAGUAAGGAUACUUUGCUUCCUUUGCUCCUAUUAAUAAACGUUGGUUUUCACUAGACUGACCAGCACAUGCGCAACGUCGACAUCUUACGUCAUCCUCUAGGAGCUGCUUCCGUGUAUAACU